UUACGGUCACAUCACGUUGAAACACCGCUUCCCGUAGGAUCAUCAAACUUAAGCAACAUCGAGCCUGAUCAGUAGCUAGAUGGGUGACCGCUUGAGAAUACCAGGUGCUGUAAG